rnacentral:rRNA from 1 species
UGGCUCAGGAUGAACGCUAGCUACAGGCUUAACACAUGCAAGUCGAGGGGAAACGAUAGAGAAAGCUUGCUUUUUCUAGGCGUCGACCGGCGCACGGGUGAGUAACGCGUAUCCAACCUGCCCAUCACUUGGGGAUAACCUUGCGAAAGUAAGACUAAUACCCAAUGACGUCUCUAGAAGACAUCUGAAGGAGAUUAAAGAUUUAUCGGUGAUGGAUGGGGAUGCGUCUGAUUAGCUUGUUGGCGGGGUAACGGCCCACCAAGGCGACGAUCAGUAGGGGUUCUGAGAGGAAGGUCCCCCACAUUGGAACUGAGACACGGUCCAAACUCCUACGGGAGGCAGCAGUGAGGAAUAUUGGUCAAUGGACGAGAGUCUGAACCAGCCAAGUAGCGUGCAGGAUGACGGCCCUAUGGGUUGUAAACUGCUUUUAUAAGGGAAUAAAGUGAGUCUCGUGAGACUUUUUGCAUGUACCUUAUGAAUAAGGACCGGCUAAUUCCGUGCCAGCAGCCGCGGUAAUACGGAAGGUCCGGGCGUUAUCCGGAUUUAUUGGGUUUAAAGGGAGCGUAGGCCGGAGAUUAAGCGUGUUGUGAAAUGUAGACGCUCAACGUCUGCACUGCAGCGCGAACUGGUUUCCUUGAGUACGCACAAAGUGGGCGGAAUUCGUGGUGUAGCGGUGAAAUGCUUAGAUAUCACGAAGAACUCCGAUUGCGAAGGCAGCUCACUGGAGCGCAACUGACGCUGAAGCUCGAAAGUGCGGGUAUCGAACAGGAUUAGAUACCCUGGUAGUCCGCACGGUAAACGAUGGAUGCCCGCUGUUGGUCUGAAUAGGUCAGCGGCCAAGCGAAAGCAUUAAGCAUCCCACCUGGGGAGUACGCCGGCAACGGUGAAACUCAAAGGAAUUGACG